AACGAACGCUGGCGGCAGGCUUAACACAUGCAAGUCGAGCGCCCCGCAAGGGGAGCGGCAGACGGGUGAGUAACGCGUGGGAAUCUACCCAUCUCUACGGAACAACUCCGGGAAACUGGAGCUAAUACCGUAUACGUCCUUCGGGAGAAAGAUUUAUCGGAGAUGGAUGAGCCCGCGUUGGAUUAGCUAGUUGGUGGGGUAAUGGCCUACCAAGGCGACGAUCCAUAGCUGGUCUGAGAGGAUGAUCAGCCACACUGGGACUGAGACACGGCCCAGACUCCUACGGGAGGCAGC
rnacentral:rRNA from 1 species